GAUGAACGCUGGCGGCGUGCCUAAUACAUGCAAGUCGAGCGAACGGACGAGAAGCUUGCAUCUCUGAUGUUAGCGGCGGACGGGUGAGUAACACGUGGAUAACCUACCUAUAAGACUGGGAUAACUUCGGGAAACCGGAGCUAAUACCGGAUAAUAUUUUGAACCGCAUGGUUCAAAAGUGAAAGACGGUCUUGCUGUCACUUAUAGAUGGAUCCGCGCUGCAUUAGCUAGUUGGUAAGGUAACGGCUUACCAAGGCAACGAUGCAUAGCCGACCUGAGAGGGUGAUCGGCCACACUGGAACUGAGACACGGUCCAGACUCCUACGGGAGGCAGCGGUAGGGAAUCUUCCGCAAUGGGCGAAAGCCUGACGGAGCAACGCCGCGUGAGUGAUGAAGGUCUUCGGAUCGUAAAACUCUGUUAUUAGGGAAGAACAUAUGUGUAAGUAACUGUGCACAUCUUGACGGUACCUAAUCAGAAAGCCACGGCUAACUACGUG
rnacentral:rRNA from 1 species